UGAUACGCCACAUACUGUGUGCCGUCAUGGCUCAGCUGUUCAGGUACUUUUGGGCAGUCAUGACAACAAGUUAUUCACCUGGAGCCAAACUUCUUCGCCGGGACUCCUCAGCAAACCAGACAGCUCAUUCGGUACAGAGCAGAUAAUGAGCAGCGUUUUCAAAGAUCCAGAAGUGCUGCCAAACCACUUUUGGGAGACAUUGAUCAAAG